rnacentral:rRNA from 1 species
CAGUCGCCGCGGGAAUACAGAGGGUGCAAGCGUUAAUCGGAUUUACUGGGCGUAAAGCGUGCGUAGGCGGCUAAUUGAGUCGGAUGUGAAAUCCCCGAGCUUAACUUGGGAAUUGCAUUCGAUACUGGUUAGCUAGAGUGUGGGAGAGGAUGGUAGAAUUCCAGGUGUAGCGGUGAAAUGCGUAGAGAUCUGGAGGAAUACCGAUGGCGAAGGCAGCCAUCUGGCCUAACACUGACGCUGAGGUACGAAAGCAUGGGGAGCAAACAGGAUUAGAUACCCCCGUAGUCCCUGUCUCUUAUAC